rnacentral:rRNA from 1 species
GUCUGUGUGUAUAUUUAAAUAUUUAGUCUGGCCUGCCCACUGAGUUUUAAAGGGCUGCGGUAAUUUGACCGUGCAAAGGUAGCAUAAUCAAUAGUCUUUUAAUUGGAGGCUUGAAUGAAAGGUUUGACGGAAAGAAGACUGUUUCUUUAAUUUAUAUUGAAUUUAACUUUUGUGUGAAAAGGCAUUAAUAAUUUAGUGGGACGAUAAGACCCUAUAAAACUUGACAUAUAUUUUCCAUUUCUUGAAGUUGUUGAGUUAAAUGAGAGUGGGUAAGAGGUGUUUUGCUGGGGCGGCAUGAAUAUAAGUUGUAACUGUUUAUAAAAUAAAAUAUGGGUAUGUAGAUUCUGGUCCUUUAAUAAGGAGUUAAGAGUAAGUUACUUUAGGGAUAACAGCAUAAUUUUUUCUGAGAGUUCAUAUCAAAGAAAGUAGUUGUGACCUCGAUGUUGAAUUAAAUUUUCUUUUAGGUGCAGCAGUUUAAUGAGAGGGCCUGUUCGGCCUAUAAAUAUUUACAUGAUUUGAGUUCAAACCGGUG